rnacentral:lncRNA from 1 species
CCCCGGCCGCGGGGACCCGGGGACGCCGCCCGCCGCCCGCCGCCCGCCCGGCUCGGCGCCCUCUCUCCAGCCACACCGCGCAGAAAUUUAGGUCAAGGACGUCGCGAUCAGACCCAAACCCCGGCGCCCCUCUGCGGGCCCGAGACGCCCCCGCCCCCCGCCGCCCGGCCUCGGGGAGCCCCAGGAUUGCGGAGACCCUCCCGCACCCGCGGCAGCCACAAGUUUUUAUUUCCCUUUGGCGCUGGAAGUUCUCUCCGCUCUCGCUCCACACCGGCACGUCCUGCGCCACCCCCCGCCCUCCCCGGCGGAGGAUUAGGACACAAUGGAACACACUCAACACCAAAACUAUACCAAAUCCAGUGUGGGUCGUGGAAAAGUGGAAUAUUUGGAAAAUCCCAACACUACCCAAAGCCUUGGAUGACCAGAUUGUUAAUCUCCCUGCCUCUUAUUUUUGGGAUAAUUCCUCACUAACAGGAUUGAUGGGGUGAAAGGAGAGAUUGAAGCACUUUAGAGCUUUAAACCACAAAGCCAAGCAUUUUCCCGUCACUCCAAGCUGCUUCCCAAAUCAUCUGGGGUCUGGUGUGUUGAAGAGCCAGUUGUUAUUAUGGUGAUUGUUUAUUAUGACUAUCCUCAAUAACAAAAUGCAGGCAACAAAGCUAAUUGCAUUUUGUUGGGGAUUUUUACACUAGAACCACAGACCAUCAGAGGUAGAAAGGCCUUUCCUGAUCCAACUCCCCCCACCGCCCCAUUUUACAUCAGGAUCCCAGAGGAGCCAAGCUGGGCAGGCUACACCCCACCCCCAGCAAUCAGCCAGCUGCUUAGGGGGGCUCUGGCCAUCACUCUGCUGCCCUUUGGCUCUGUGGCAUGCAUAUUUAUUCUGUCCUCCACAAGGCAAGAGUGGGGUGCCCUUGUUCCCUGUUGUAGACCUACAUAAGCUGACACUGAACUGAAUUAAAACCCUGAGAGGGGCUGGCACUGCAAUUAUAAAGUCAGUGGUUGAGAAAGAGCUUGAUCUUAUAUUUCCAUUACUACAUUGCUUUUACUUAUUUUUCAUUUAUAUGCAGUCGUAUUUACUCCGCUCGGUCUAUAAUUCUAUGAGUUUUUGACAAACGCAUAGGAUUGGGUUAUCUCCGCAAUAACCAAUCCAAGAUGCAGAAGAGUUUCAUUGUCCCCCCAAAAAAUUCACUCCUGCUGCCCCUUUGCACUAUGUUAUAUGGAAUAACUUAUCAUUUAUUAUGCAUUUCUUCUCCAGCUCAUCCACUUAAUGCAGCCCCUGGGUCGGGAGGAUUCCAGCAGGACGAUGUCAGUCCUCUACCCUCUCUGUUGCCCAUGACCUCAUUAGACACUCCCUUCAUGUAACUCACUCUUCACUUGGCGUCCUUGAUGCUCAUGUUCUUUUGUUUUCCUCCUACCUCUCCAGCCAUUCCUUCUGUCUCUUUACCCUGACUUCUCUGCCUUUCCUUUAAAUACUGGUGUUCAUUCUCUCCCCCAGCUACACCCCCCCGGCCCCCGAAUGAGCUCCUCUGAAUGGUGGGUUUUGAUAGUACCUACUUGCUGAUACCACUCAAAUUAAAAUCUCCGGCCUGAGCUCUCCACGGAGCUAUUCACCAUCUCCGCUUAACCUUCCUGGACGUACCCCAAACUCAACAUGCAUGUCCAGAAACACAGGCAUGCGUUUUCCCCUUGAAUCUAAAAAACUCUUUUAAGUUUCACUACAUGGGUCAACAGAACCCCAGCCACCCUAGAGACGAGGUUGGCCCUUCUCCAGAUUGACAUCUUCCCGUAGGCAAUCCAUCAUGAAGACGUGUGUUUCACUUCCUAAGUAUCUCUCAAACCCAUCUUUCCUGCUGCUGCAUCCUACAUUUCCCGCUUGACCCCCUGUGAUAGCCUUCUGAGCAUUCUUCCCACACCAUCUCUUAGUCCGUUAAUGUGCCGGGAAACUUUCUCUGCCCAGGUUGAAUCCCUCUUGGUAGGCACUGUUAUCCUCUCAGAAUGUCCUCUGUGUACCUUACCUGUGCAAUCAUUUGCUUUGUUGCUCAUCUCCUCCACCAAACCAUGAGCCUUGCUCUCCACAUAUUAGCACAGUGCCUGUAUUAGUGCAUGGUUGACACUCAAUAAAUCUUUGUUGAACAAAUGAAAGGAUGAAUGA